ACUCCUGGUGCUCGCGUAGACUAGACCAGUGCGAUGGGCGGAGCCAACGAGGAGGCACAAUUUACAUCCUUGGCCGUCCCUACUCGGAUUUGCUGAAGGAGUCACGUCGGUCGUUAAGGUUAAGCUUUGUAGAGAACAGCGGCGUUUGUUUAACGUCCGGGGAUGCUGAACUCGAAAUCCCCGUUCUGAGCCGGCUACCUAAACAACCUUCCCGACCACCUCUCCUGACCUCGGUGCUUGGGACCAGGGAAAAGCAGAUCUUGCCACAGACUUGUCUUGGCCCACACUCUGCCCUAUCGUCAUGGCCUGCUCCCACAGGUCAUAACUUCCGUUCAAAUCAGUACCCCCACAUUUCCCACUGCAAGGGUAAAUUUGAAAGUUUCUCAGGUGACUCCUUGGAUGUAGCAGUACUGAGUCCUCUAACCGGAAAGAAGGAACUGAUGUCCACCCUCACUUUCCAGGGGCCUCCAGGAGCCCCUAGACACUUCUGUGGUCUACUGUAGCUACCAAAAAUGUAGCUGGUUAUAACAUGGGGAGAGCCAGAGUCGGAGGACCUGACUUCCAAUUCUGACUUGGAUACUAAUAUCACAUCAUUGUACCCAUUUCAAACUCCCCCUCUGUAAAAUGGAAAAUUGGACUAGAUGAUCUCUUAGGACUUCAAACUGUAACCCUGUGGUUUUAUUCAAAAAAAACAGGUAGCUUCUUGCUGGAGAUUCCUGGAUGGAUUCCAGUCUUCCCAAGAGAAGAAAAUAGCUGAUGCAAAUACAGAAAAAGAAGAGGACUAAAGAGUACCACUUCUUUCCAGAGAGAGUGGUUCUUUACCUCAGGGUCACGGUCCUUCUCCCUACAGGCUCGGACCUCAUUGUACAGCUUGGAGGAAGAGAUGGGAGCCAGAAAGGAAGUGUACUCCCCGGGGAUGCUCACACCAUCAUCUGCACAGCAGGAGAGUCAAAUUAGUUCCAGAGGGAGGGAAAUGGUAUGUCUGUACUAACUGAAGGAUCAGAAGGAUCAAACCUCCCAUGU
rnacentral:lncRNA from 1 species